rnacentral:lncRNA from 1 species
UGUUUUAUUUUAUCACCUUGCACUUUCAUGACUUGGCUGUGACUUCUACAGCAGUUGGUUCAAAUUUCUGACCAGUUGAACAAUUUGAUUUUAUAAAACAAAUUGCAAUUUGGUCAAAAUUUUGAAUGAGUUGCAAUUGGUGGAGAGCAACCCUAACAGUCAAGUCACUGUAAAUACAUGCCAAUAUUUUCAGUUUGCAAGACAAGAUGAAUUUAUCUUAUUCUGACAAAAAUUGGUCCACAAGUUUGAAACAUAUAAGAUAUUAAAAUGUUUUAACAAAUCAUACAAUAUAUGUAUAAGUAGAUAUGACUCCUAUCAAUGCUUACAAAAGGCCAUCAUCUAACAAGUCGUGUUUGCCAUGGAAAAGGUCAAAGAAAAGGUCAUUGAUGGUAUCUUUUUUAUGGUCACAUUUAGUAAGACAAUUAUUUUCCUGUAGAUAACACAAAGAUGUCUCAACUUAACAAUUUCAGAUGCUGCUGAUGCCAGAAACAGCAUGCCUAAGUCGUGUUUCAUCAACUCAGACAUAGGGGAGACAAACAAAGUUGUUACAAGUAUGAGCGAUUACAAAGAUAUUUUACCAUUUGAGACAAUAAAGACAUAUGAUAAUUUAUGUAACACAUAGAAAAAAUUAAUACAAAAAAUUUAAAUAUUUACACACCUCAUAAUUUAACAUUUAUGCCAUUUACAAUUAGAUCUUCUAAAUUUAAC